UACGAGGGGGGCAAGCGUUGUUCGGAAUUAUUGGGCGUAAAGGGUGCGUAGGCGGUUUGGUAAGUCUUAUGUGAAAUCUACAGGCUUAACUUGUAGUCUGCAUGAGAAACUGCCGGGCUUGAGUAUGGGAGAGGUGAGUGGAAUUCCUGGUGUAGCGGUGAAAUGCGUAGAUAUCAGGAGGAACACCUGUGGCGAAAGCGGCUCACUGGACCAUAACUGACGCUGAUGCACGAAAGCUAGGGGAGCAAACAGG
rnacentral:rRNA from 1 species